CAGCAGCUAAAAACAUUGGCCUGACCACAUAUCAAGUUUGACUCAGCUUCUCCAGUCUCAGGAAUUUAUCCAGAGCAUUUUUGCUUUUAAUGUUUUGGCUGUGCCACACGGCAUGUAGAAUUCCAAGUCCCCGGUGGAGUCCCAGCCUCUGAACCACCAGGAAGUCCCCAGCGGAGAAUCUUUAAGCCUCAUCCCUCAACAAGUUCCAUCUCCUUUUACAAUGCUCUCCAUUAAAUAAAACUCCAGUGGCUUCAAAGUAUUUUACAUUUGGAUCCACAGUCUGUAGACCAGUGCUCUGCAAUAGGACUUUCUGCUGUGAUUUGCAUGUCCCCAUGGCUACUAUCUUGGACACUGCAGCUUUAGACUCUGGAAAAGAAGGGAAUGGCAACCCACUCAGUAUUCUUGCCUGGAGAAUCCCGUGGACAGAGGAGUCUGGCGAGCUACACUCCCUGGGGUUGCAAAGGGUUGGACAUGACUGAGCGACUGGGAAAGCUAGUCGAAAGCUAACAUUCUGACUUCUACAAAGUUCAUUAGACAGCCUGCAAUUUUGGGCUACUCUCUACCUGUCUGACUCUUUUUCUUAGUAAUAGAACACAUGAGUUUUAGCUGGACCCAUGGCCUCCUGGCAAGACGCUCUGUUUCUCAGCUUAUCUUGUGGCUGGGAGGGGUGUGGUGUAGGAAGUCACAUGUUAACGUCAGAUUAGUGGCUGUGGGAAGGUAUCUUGUGCAACUUUUUGGUUUUCUCCUUAAAGUUGACAUUACAUGCCCUGGACUUUUCUGUCUUCUCCUAGCCUGGAAGGCAGAUAUGGAAUUGAACCAGCCUCAGUUCUCCUAAGACUAUGCCCAGGAUAUGGUGGACCAAAAAGAUGGAAAGAUUCUGGGUCCCUGAAUUAUCUGAUGGAGCAGAGAUACCCCAUCCGUCUUGAAUGACUCAUCUUCGGGCCAUGUGUUGAGAUUGCAGGAGGCUGCCUGGAGUGCUGUGUUGACAAGGAUGUGAGACCACAUCAGUGCUCACUGGAAAUGAAGGCCAUAAUCAUCUACGUCUUCCACAGGCACAGGAGGGGGAGUUCCCUGCAAUGGUGGGGAUUGCUGGAUUCCUAAGUCCUCUUCCCUUCUAACUUUACAGAAUUUUGCCUACCUAUCCUAAGUUAGCAUAUAAGAGUCUUUCCCCCUGUCUGUUCUAUACCACACACACCACUUGACAUAUCAAGUGUUUUAUCAAGUAGAACACAGGGUCCUCGCCUGAUAUCUCUCUCUGACUGGUCUUCUCCUCACCCACUUUCUCAUCUUCUGAGCCUCACCCUCAAGUCUGGAGUCUCUAGACUUAUGAGAGACGCCUAGGCUUCUCAGGCUUCUGAGUCAUUGUUUAACUUCCCUCUCACCUGACUCAGUGCUUAGGAAUCGCCGUGUUAAGAUGACAUGGUUCAGCCAGGUCCUUGCAGGAAGCAUUUGAAGGACAUUGGUAGCUAACAGGCAUAGUCCUCUGAGGGUGAUUCUGCCUCGUCUGGCUCAAUCAGUCUAAUAACUUGUGUAGCCCCCAGGAGGAUUCUGAUCUUCUGGGAAUCCAAUCACUAACAUAGCUUAGAAAAUAACUCAGAUAUAGAGAAUCCAUAUCUGCUUUCCCAUCCCCAAUCCCAAAUCGUUUCCAGGGAGUCGUGUUAUUUUGACCGUUUUCAAAAGUCACUGAAAAAUAGAGAAACAAUGUACGGGCAAAGGUUCAGUUGAAGAAAAUUGAAUCUACCCUGGGCAAUAGAAUCCACCUAGUUUAACUAGAGCAUGGCUUUCACAGGAUAAACCCCUUCCGACACUCCUGUUCCUAGGUCUAUAUAUCCCUUCUUCUUUAUUGGGCACAGCAAACCAUGGUCUGCUUUUGUAAAGAAAGCCACCAUUUGUUUUUGUAAAUAAAGU
ensembl:lncRNA